rnacentral:lncRNA from 1 species
CACAAAAUUCCCUUCAAUCCCCCCGUUUAGUUGACAUAAAUAGUUAAAGGGAAAUAUCCAAAUCCAUGUCUUAUUAUUUUCAAUAAUCCAUACUUGUAGCAAUGAAAUACUAUAUAUUCCUCCACCAAGUGAUAAAUGAUUGAUUACAAAUAUUUAGGAUAUAUUUUUUUUGCUCUAUCUAUAAAGGCCCAGAAAUACCCUGUUUACGUAUCAUUGGAAAGUGCAUUAACAUAAAUACGGCAGGCCCAGAAAUACCCUAUUUACGUAUCAUUGAAAAGUGCAUUAACAUAAAUACGGCAGUAAGAAGUGGCAAUACAAAAGUGUGUAAACUAUAAAAACGAGUCAAAGUAGAUUUUCCCACACUAGCGCUUCCGCGCAAUAAUUCGACCAAAGGUGAUCCUAUUACAGGAAUAGCGUCAGGGAC